rnacentral:rRNA from 1 species
UGGGGAAUUUUGCACAAUGGGGGAAACCCUGAUGCAGCGACGCCGCGUGAUUUAGAAGGCCUUCGGGUUGUAAAAAUCUUUUCUAUGGGAAGAAAAUGACAGUACCAUAGGAAUAAGGACCGGCUAAUUACGUGCCAGCAGCCGCGGUAAUACGUAAGGUCCGAGCGUUGUCCGGAAUCAUUGGGCGUAAAGGGUACGUAGGCGGGUAAGCAAGUUAGAAGUGAAAUCCUGUAGCUCAACUACAGUAAGCUUUUAAAACUGCUCAUCUUGAGAUAUGGAAAGGAAAGUGGAAUUCCUAGUGUAGCGGUGAAAUGCGCAGAUAUUAGGAGGAAUACCGGUGGCGAAGGCGACUUUCUGGCCAUAAUCUGACGCUGAGGUACGAAAGCGUGGGUAGCAAACAGG